ensembl:lncRNA
CCAUAUAGUUAUAUAACUUUAGAUUCAUCAAUGUGUAAUGACGGCGGUGUGACAACAGAGUUGAGGAUCCAUCUGCAGCUUUUAUUAAGAGUGUAGUCAGAUAGGCAGGGUCAACACACCAGCAAAAAACAGUACUUCGAAGGUAAUCCAAAAGAGUAAUCCACAGAACAGGAAAAAAGCCGGGGCAGGCAGCAAACGAUCAUAAACACGGUAAACAGUCCAUGAACAAAACAUGAAGGCAAGACAAGGCAGAAACUGGAAAGCAUAACAGGCUAACAAUUAACAGCGAUCUGUUUAAGUGUGUGUGUGUGCAUCUUUUAUAGGGUUUGACUGAUGAGGUAAUGGGAGACAGGUGACUGUAAUUGAUGAUGAGUGCAGAUGAGUCCAGGGAAAGGAUUAUGGGAAAUAAAGUCCUGGGUGAAUGUUUAAAGACCCCCCCCUUAUUUCAGCUACUUAUAACAUACUGUUGGUCAAUGUGUAAUUUUUUUUUUUUUUUUUUAUUCAGCACAAACUGUUACAAUAAUAUGUGUGGGCUGAGGGACUGAUUCAAGGGCUGAAGUGAGCUCUGGAGAAGACUCUGGGACUGGAGUGGGCUCAGGAACAGAUUCGGGGACUAAAGUGGACGGCACCACCUCGGGAGGUUCUGCAGCGGAAGCCAGCCUCAGGCACCUUGGGACAGACUUUUUUGUCUUCAAAUGUAACAUUCACAAUGCUCUGGAACACUGGAGUGGCAUCUGUGAUGGCUGAAGACUGUGGCCUGACAUCUCUGAAGGUCGGAGUCUCUGGCAUGGCGGUCCUGACGUGAACAGGCUCUGGCUUGGCAGACUUGAUGUGAGCAGGCUCUGGCGUGGCGGCCCUGACAUGAACAGGCUCUGGCUUGGCAGACUUGAGAUUCAGAGCCUCAUUUGUUUUGGACUUCUCCAAAUAGCUUGGUUCUUCUGGGAUGUGUGUGAUCUCUGGAGAAGACCUAGAUACAAGAAACAAAGAAUUCCUCUGCCUAAAGGAUCCAAGUCAAACCAAUCUGUUACAAGUAACAUUUCAUUAUCUCUUCAGAUACAAACCACAAGGUCCCGCAAAUAGAGGCCUAUUUUUCCGGCUCUGCUAAUAGAAUUGAAUUUCACAGAGUGUAACUUAAAUUAGACAUUCCAUAGCAGCCCUGAAUGGCAGAAAUAAUCGGCAUGGGUGACUAAUUUGGCAGAGCGUGUGCUAAGUACACAAAUCCCCUUUUUUCCACCCCUCGCCCGAGGUUUGCGAAGAGCGGCGCACAACCCACAGACAAAGGCAACACGCGGCUCAUAAAAAUUAACAUAGUAAAUGACCUGGAGAGGAAGGCACAAUAAAUAAUCUGAUCUUAUCA